GAAGCCUGAAUGGGGACAGGCUAAGGUCCCCGGCUGCAGCUGACUGCAACCCUCACAAGGCAUUUCAAACAGCAGGAAUGGAGCUGACCUGAGUGUGGCAGUGUCUGUGGGAAGGUGAGCCUCCAGGACAGUCCACACUGGGCACAGUCAUGGGAACUAACUGUCAAUCUGACAAGAAAGGAUGUCUCCUGUCACCCUCAGGAAGGGGCUUUGUCUCCACAGUUCCCACUGAUGACACUAUAGUGGCUUUCCUCUGCAAGGACCCUGGCAGUCACUCUCAGAGAAUGGAACACCAGAUCUUCUCCAUCCCUGGGACAUCCUGCUUGGUCCCUGGCUUUCAGGCCAACUUCCCAUCUGCUCAAUGCUCAGCCUGAACUUCCAUCAAUCCAAUGAGAGUCAGGGGCACCCAGCAUGCAGCUUGCAUACCACAGCCCCACCAUCUGGCCCUUGAUUAUUCCUGCUCCCUCAACUUCAACCUGAGGAUGCUGGGAACCAGACAACAUCACGUGUGACCAAGCAUCAUACAUGACUGCUCAUGUGGACAAUGGGGAUUUCUCCCUGGAUCACCCAGAACUAGAGAGGAGGACAUUUCUGGUCUUGGAAAAGUAUUGUACCUAACUCAGGACUCCUUUAUCAUUAACCCAUGUUCCCCUCAUACUUAGGUUGGGAUAUAUUUGGGGACAUUGGAAAAAACUAUCUGUGCAUCUUAUAACCUGUAAUUUGUGUCCAAAAAACUUUGUUCAUUUUAAUCUCAAACAGUGGUACCCAAGUGCUGGUACCUCAACCCAGCUCUCCCUCUUGCAACACCAGCCCUGGGCAACCACAUCCUUUCCCUAACGGCAUCCCUGAGCCCAGAACUGCGACAGGAUCUCUCACUGGUAGGUUGUGGUUCCAAGCUAACGGCUACCUGACAGAACUCACACAGUAUCUAGUUCUCUCUGAUCCUAUCACUGGAUGUACUCAUUCAUGGUGGCCUGGUCCUGCCUCUAUCAGGGUGGCCAGGUGUCCUAUCUCUAGGUCUUGUUGCCUAAGAGCAACAGUAGGAUCACCAAUGUGGGGCCUCAGGUGACCUCACACAGACAAGGCAGCCUGGGAUUGCAAUGGGCACAGGGAGCAGGAAAUGGUUUCUCUUGAGGGAGUCAUCUGCUUACUCCUUAUGCUAUGCUAGGUUCCUUCAAAAAUGUAAAGGGCUCCAACUUGAUCUUACUUCCUGCUUGUUCCCCUUACUUCCUGCUGUCCAGAUGGGCCUGCCUUGUCUGAGAAGCUCUGUCUCUCCCUCAUUGCCAUUCCUGGUCUUGCUUAGUAUUGUUUCUUUCACUUAAGGUCUCACUAUGCAGCCGCAGCUACUCUAGAGAUUACUAUUUAGGGCAGACUAGACUUAAACUCUCAAAGAUUCACCUGUCCCUGCUUUCUGAGUGUAAGGAUUAAACAUAUGUUGCCACCACACCCAGCCGGCUGUCCUGUCUUGAUGGUCCAUUCCCGUUUCACACUAGGCUUUCUUUCUCUCAGGCUGAGACUCCCGACGACAGCCCCUUCUAGUCUAGACACCGUGUUAGAGCCCCAGAUCCAGGAAUUUUAUGCCCUGAUACUAGGCUUUCAUGGUUCCCCCAAAGUCAGGAGACAAC